AACGCUGGCGGCAGGCCUAAUACAUGCAAGUCGGACGGGAUCCUUCGGCUGGUUGCUACCCCUGGUGGCGGAGGGGCACGGGUGGCUAACGAAUGAGCCACUUGCCGAUAUCCAGCGGAUAGACCGGAAAAAUCCUGAUUAACACCCCCUGACACUGCUUUCCGGCAUCCUUAGGACCUCAAAUAUUCAUAGGAUAUGGAUGGGCUCGCGUGACAUUAGCUAGUUGGGGGGGAAACGGGCCACCAUCUGGACGAUGUCUGAGGGCUCUAACAGGAGAAUCCCCCACACUGGUACUGACACACUCACCCGACUCCUACGGGAGGGGAAUAUUGGGAAUAUUGGUCAAUGGGGGCAACCCUGAGCCAGCCAUGCCGCGUGCGCGACGACUGCCCUAUGGGUUGUAAACUGCUUUUGUGCUGCAAUAAACCCCGCUCCGUGAUACGGGAUGAAUGUCCCUAAAUAAUAACGAUCGGCUAACUCCGUGCCAGCCGCCGCGGUAAUACGGAGGAUCCGAGCGUUCUCCGGAUUUGUUGGGUUUAAAGGGUGCGUAGGCUGCACUUUAAGGAUGGGGUGACCCAGAGCUUCUCUACUGUCUUGCUGCCCUUGAUACUGAACUGCUUGAUUGCGAGAUGAUGACGGAAUAAUGAGACAAGUAGCGGUGAAAUGCAUAGAUAUGUCUCAGAACACCGAUUGCGAAGGCAGCUGUCUAAUACGUUAUUGACUCUGAUGCACGAAAGCGUGGAGAUCGAACAAGUUUAUAUACUCUGGUAGUCCACGCCAAAAAAUAUGAUGACUCGAUGUUUGCGAUAUACCGUAUGCUGCCAAACGUAACGGUAAAGUCAUACACCUGGGG
rnacentral:rRNA from 1 species